rnacentral:rRNA from 2 species
AAACCUCGGCACUGCCUUGGUUUGGGUAUUGAAGUUUAAGUCAUUGGGUAUUAUUUGGUUAUUUUGUAUCUUGGAGUUUGGUGAUUUCGCAUCGCGUUUCGCGUGAUGCAUCAACCGGCAGACGAGGUAGUAAUAAGUAGGUACGCACCCCAAAGUCGGGCAUAGCUCAUCGAAAGGUGAGGUAAUUCCCGAUGGUCUCCGACCCGAAAGGCGUCGGAGUAAAGAAUUUCGCUUUGGGAGCGGCCUGCUCGGUAUCAGCUAGUUGGUAGGGUAAAAGCCUACCAAGGCUAUGACGCCUAGGGGGGGUGAGAGCCUGUUCCCCACCGAUGGAACUGCGACACGGUCCAUACACCUACGGGUGGCUGCAGUCGAGAAUCUUCCGCAAUGGGCGAAAGCCUGACGGAGCGACGCCGCGUGAUUGAUGAAGUCCUUCGGGAUGUAAAGAUCUUUUAUGAGGGAGGAAGUUAUUGACGGUACCUCAUGAAUAAGGGGUUGCUAAACUCGUGCCAGCAGCAGCGGUAAUACGAGUGCCCCAAGCGUUAUCCGGAAUCAUUGGGCGUAAAGGGUGUGUAGGCGGUAUGGUUAGUCUUCUGUCAAAUUCUUCGGCUUAACCGGGGGUCCGCAGAAGAAACGGCCAUACUUGAGGAUGCGAGAGGUCUAUGGAACUCUAGGUGUAGGGGUGAAAUCCGUUGAUAUCUAGGGGAACACCAAAAGCGAAGGCAAUAGACUGGCGCACUCCUGACGCUGAAACACGAAAGCGUGGGUAGCGAAUGGGAUUAACAACGUUCGCCUGCUUCUUUUUGAAAACACGAAAUUUUCUGGUGAAAAUUUUCUCCGUACGGCGCCAGUCGCGCCUGCCGAGGUUUCCAAAAAGAAGCAGGCUCACUCCAAGGUUUAAGAAUAAGAAGGAGUGGUGCGUAGGGGUACGUAGAACAAUAGUCCCUUUGGUUGAAGAUGUGAUUAUGCACUGAAUGAUGAGGAAGGGAAUUGGACGAGUUAGUCCUUAAAAACUGUUUCUAUCAUGGCCGAAUAAUCGGCACGACAUGUUCGAAAGAACAUGAAUGGCAACCGUCCAGACGAAAGUCUCCACGGUUGCCCUCAUCAUUCAAUGCGUAGUUUGUUUUCAAACAAAGAUAACCUAGCUAUAUGCUGGAAAAGCCGAGUAUCCGAAAGUACUUCGCGAUUACGAAGUGAAAAUCUUUUCGGUGCGGCCAAUCAGCAGGGAAGAAUCAAAGAAAUAGAUAUGGAAGAGUGAUAUGAUAUACCAUCUAAA